rfam:Schistosoma rodhaini strain Burundi genome assembly, scaffold: SROB_scaffold0015723
AACUUUUUGUAUUCGUGACGAGAUUUCAUUAUACGCCAAGACAUCAGCACUGGUGAGACUACCAAGAUUAGUGAAGUG